rnacentral:rRNA from 1 species
AUUGAACGCUGGCGGCAGGCUUAACACAUGCAAGUCGAGCGGGGUGAUGGUGCUUGCACUAUCACUUAGCGGCGGACGGGUGAGUAAUGCUUAGGAAUCUGCCUAUUAGUGGGGGACAACAUCUCGAAAGGGAUGCUAAUACCGCAUACGUCCUACGGGAGAAAGCAGGGGAUCACUUGUGACCUUGCGCUAAUAGAUGAGCCUAAGUCGGAUUAGCUAGUUGGUGGGGGAAAGGCCUCCCAAGGCGACGAUCUGUAGCGGGUCGGAGAGGAUGAUCCGCCGCACUGGGACUAAAACAAGGCCCAGACUCCUACGGGGGGCAGCAGUGGGGAAUAUUGGACAAUGGGGGGAACCCUGAUCCAGCCAUGCCGCGUGUGUGAAGAAGGCCUUAUGGUUGUAAAGCACUUUAAGCGAGGAGGAAGCUCUUUUGGUUAAUACCCAAGAUGAGUGGACGUUACUCGCAGAAUAAGCACCGGCUAACUCUGUGCCAGCAGCCGCAGUAA